rnacentral:rRNA from 1 species
GUCUUUUUAUUUUUAUUUAAAGUCUGACCUGCUCACUGAUAUAUAUAUUAAAUAGCCGCGGUAUUUUGACCGUGCAAAGGUAGCAUAAUCAUUAGUCUUUUAAUUGAAGGCUAGAAUGAAUGGUUUAACGAGGAAAAAACUGUCUCAUUAUAAAAAUAGAAUUUAACUUUUAAGUUAAAAGGCUUAAAUAUAAUUUAAGGACGAGAAGACCCUAUAGAACUUAAAUAUAAUAAUAUAUUUAUUUUUAUGAUUAUUUUAUUAAAUAUAUUACAUUAUUUUAGUUGGGGUGACUGAUAAAAUAAAUAAACUUUAUCUUAUUAAUUCACUUUUUGGUGUAAAAUUUUUGAUCCAUAAUUAAUGAUUAAAAGAUUAAGUUACCUUAGGGAUAACAGCGUAAUUACUUUUUAGAGUUCAUAUUGAUAGAGUAGAUUGCGACCUCGAUGUUGGAUUAAGAUAAAACUAAGGUGCAGUAACUUUAGGUUUAGGUCUGUUCGACCUUUAAAUUCUU